CCUACGGGGGGCAGCAGUGGGGAAUAUUGGGCAAUGGAGGAAACUCUGACCCAGCGACGCCGCGUGCGGGAUGAAGGCCUUCGGGUUGUAAACCGCUUUCAGCAGGGAAUAAGCGAAAGUGAAGGUACCUGCAGAAGAAGCACCGGCUAACUAUGUGCCAGCAGCCGCGGUAAUACAUAGGGUGCAAGCGUUGUCCGGAAUUAUUGGGCGUAAAGAGCUCGUAGGUGGUUUGUUACGUCGGAUGUGAAAUGCAGGGGCUCAACCCCUGACUUGCAUCCGA
rnacentral:rRNA from 1 species